GCUAAGAAUCUUCCACAAUGGACGAAAGUCUGAUGGAGCGACGCCGCGUGAACGAUGAAGGCCGUAAGGUUGUAAAGUUCUUUUUGGAAGGAAGAAUAAGCUUGGCAGGGAAUGGCCGAGUGAUGACGUGAAUUCCAGAAUAAGCCCCGGCUAACUACGUGCCAGCAGCCGCGGUAACACGUAGGGGGCGAGCGUUGUUCGGAAUUAUUGGGCGUAAAGGGCACGCAGGCGGCUUGGCAAGUCUGAUGUAAAAAUUCAGGGCUCAACCCUGUCUGGCGUUGGAAACUGCUGAGCUUGAGUACAGGAGGGGAUAUUGGAAUUCCAGGUGUAGGGGUGAAAUCUGUAGAUAUCUGGAAGAACACCGAUGGCGAAGGCAAAUAUCUGGCCAUGUACUGACGCUGAGGUGCGAAGGUGCGGGGAGCAAACAGGUUUAGAAACCCUAGUAGUCC
rnacentral:rRNA from 1 species